rnacentral:rRNA from 1 species
UACAGAGGUCCCAAGCGUUGUUCGGAUUCAUUGGGCGUAAAGCGCACGUAGGCGGAUCGAUCAGUCAGGGGUGAAAUCCCAGAGCUCAACUCUGGAACUGCCUUUGAUACUGUCGAUCUGGAGUAUGGAAGAGGUGAGUGGAAUUCCGAGUGUAGAGGUGAAAUUCGUAGAUAUUCGGAAGAACACCAGUGGCGAAGGCGGCUCACUGGACCGGCAUUGACGCUGAUGUGCGAAAGCGUGGGGAGCAAACAGG